CCUACGGUAGGCAGCAGUGGGGAAUAUUGGGCAAUGGGCGCAAGCCUGACCCAGCAACGCCGCGUGAAGGAAGAAGGCUUUCGGGUUGUAAACUUCUUUUCUGAUGGACGCAGAAAGUGACGAUACCUCAGGAAUAAGCCACGGCUAACUACGUGCCAGCAGCCGCGGUAAUACGUAGGUGGCAAGAGUUAUUCGGAUUUAUUGGUUGUAAAGGGCGUGUAGGCGGGAAAGCAAGUCAGAUGUGAAAACUCAGGGCUCAACCCUGAGCCUGCAUUUGAAAAUGUUUUUCUUGAGUGCUGGAGAGGCAAUCGGAAGUCCGUGUGUAGCGGUGAAAUGCGGAGAUAUACGGAGGAACACCAGUGGCGAAGGCGGAUUGCUGGACAGUAACUGACGCUGAGGCGCGAAAGCGUGGGGAGCAAACAGGAUUAGAUACCCGUGUAGUC
rnacentral:rRNA from 1 species